rnacentral:rRNA from 1 species
UACAGAGGUGUCAAACGUUGUCCGGAAUUACUGGGCGUAAAGGGCGCGUAGGCGGCCUUAUAAGUCAUUUGUGAAAGCUCUGGGCUCAACCCAGGAAUUGCAAGUGAUACUGUAAGGCUUGAGUUCGGUAGAGGAGGGCGGAAUUCCAGGUGUAGCGGUGAAAUGCGUAGAUAUCUGGAGGAACACCGGUGGCGAAGGCGGCGUUCUGGACUGCAACUGACACUGAGAAACGAAAGCCAGGGUAGCAAACGGG